rnacentral:rRNA from 1 species
AACGAACGCUGGCGGCAGGCUUAACACAUGCAAGUCGAGCGCCCCGCAAGGGGAGCGGCAGACGGGUGAGUAACGCGUGGGAAUCUACCCAUCUCUACGGAAUAACGCAUGGAAACGUGUGCUAAUACCGUAUACGUCCUUCGGGAGAAAGAUUUAUCGGAGAUGGAUGAGCCCGCGUUGGAUUAGCUAGUUGGUGGGGUAAAGGCCUACCAAGGCGACGAUCCAUAGCUGGUCUGAGAGGAUGAUCAGCCACACUGGGACUGAGACACGGCCCAGACUCCUACGGGAGGGAGCAGUGGGGAAUAUUGGACGAUGGGCGCAAGCCCGGUCCAGCCAUGCCGCGUGAGUGAUGAAGGCCGUAGGGUUGUAAAGCUCUUUCACCGGUGAAGAUAAUGACGGUAACCGGAGAAGAAGCCCCGGCUAACUUCGUGCCAGCCGCCGCCGUAAGAC